rfam:Stegodyphus mimosarum contig18003, whole genome shotgun sequence.
GCCUUCGUGGUGUAAUGGUCUGCAUGUUCGACGCGUAACCGAGAGGUCCGUGGUUCGAUUCCCGGUGAAGGCG